rnacentral:rRNA from 1 species
AUGAAAUUUUCUAAAAAAAAAAGAAAGCCCACAUCCCAGUUUUUAUUACACGAUUCGCAAAUCCAAAUACUUUCUUUGGUAUAUAUGCGCAGCGCUCACCUUCCUCCCGCUCAUGGAGGCCGACGCCAUGGCGCCGGAUCUCGUGCUCUUCUCCAACCUCAUCCACCUUGCCCUCCGCGCCGGCGACGCGCCCAAGGCGCUCGCGCUCUUCUCCAGCCUCCGCGCCGCGGGGAUCAGGCCCGACCUCAAGGCCUACAACGCCGCCAUCGCCGCCUACUGCAAGUCCGACCUGCUCCGCGACGCCAAGCGCCUGCUGCUCCACGACGUCCCCGCCAACGGCGUGGCACCCGACGCCGAGUCCUACGCCCCGGUCCUCGCCGCGCUCGCGCGCCGCGGCCGGCACCUCGCGGCGGUCUCGCUCUUCUCGCACAUGCGCGUCGUGGCGCGCUCAAGCCCAACCUCUCCAUUUUCAACAUCGUGCUCAACGCGUACGGGCAGCUGGACCUCGCGCGCAACGCCGACCGGCUCUUCUGGUCCAUGCGCCCGGCCGGGGUGCCGCCGAGCGUCGUCACGUACAACACCAUGCUCCGCGUGUACGGCGACGCCGGGCUAUUCAGGGAGGCAGUCCACCUGUUCGGCCUCAUGUGCAGCACCGCCUCCGCGCUCCGACGGCGGCAGCAACAGCGUCGUCUAGUAGCCGGAAACGGGGAACGGUGGACCGUCCCUCGAUCCGGAUUCAUCGACCCAGAAUCAGAUUCGGGAACGAGGGUCGAUUCGGUAAGAUUCGAUGCGGAUUCGGCGUUUUCGCAGCUGGUUCAUCAAUUCAGGUUCGACGACUCAACAAUCUUGGUUCUUGAGAAGGUGUUUGUUUCCAGGGACUUAUGGGUUUAG